AUUAAGAUUUUUAGUUGAAUUUAUCAUAUGGAUAACUGCUAUUGUUCUGUUUUUCCAACAAUUGAUAGAACCCGAUCAUGAAUCCAACAUAAGAGCUAUUUGUUUAAACAGAUAAAUCAUCUGUUGCGACAUAUCACUACAAAAAACAAGUCUAAUUAUGGAGGUUUAUUUGCGGGGGUUAUUUUAACCCCUGUAAAAUUAUAUUAAAUGUGGGGGUUAAAAAUGUGCCACUAAAAAUUAUACAUUUGCGGGGGUUUUAACCCUCACUAUCCAUCCAAAAAAAUAGCGCCAACUCAAAAAGUAUUUUCCAUUUUCCCCUCAAUAUUCAUUAAUAAUAGCCCCAAAACAUUUCUCUCUCUCAUUUUUCUCCAAAAUAGCGCUAAUUAGGGUACACCAGUCAUUGAUAGGCUGCUACUCUCUGCUCCAGCCAUUGCUACUUCGGCGUCUCCGGUGGUCGGUCAUUACCUUUUUCUCCGGUGUAUUCAAACUCCCAACUUCUAGGUUGAAGGCUCAUUUUCAAGACAAUCCAAAAAACCUAGAUCUUUUGAAGCAUGAUAAGAUGUUAAGCAAGAAGGCACCUGCCCCACACCUACGUGAUGUACCUAAUUACCUGUUGGAUCCAACAACACAAGACGCUAAUAAGAUUGUGAAGUUGGCCAGAGCUGCAAUGGGCAAUACUAAUCCAUCUCGUGGCAAAGGAUCAAAGAGAAGGUUCAAAAGAAGUAGAGACCCUCUUAAAACUUUUUCAACUGAGUUAUCAAAGGAUUUUCUCAGAUGAUGUGAGCAAUCAUACUGAUUCUAGAUAGGUAGUUAAGGUAUACACGAAGGGAUAACAAAAAGAGAUAGUUAAAAUUAAGGAGCUCGUACCAAGAGUUUUGAAGCAAAUUCAAAACCAAGUAAUUGAAUUCAAGGACCUUCUAAAAGAUGAUGGUAGCCCCAACAUUGAAUCCAUUAAAAGGCUCUUCCGUAAGUUUGAUGAUGAUCAUAACAGUUAUUUAACACCGCCAGAACUGGAGAAGCUAACGAGAAAUGUCAACUUCAGAGAGGAAAAUGCUGAGAAGAUAUAUGUUUGCAUCGAUGAUGAAACCAUCAAUUACUUAAACCGACAAGAUAUGAGAAGGGCUCUUCAUGCAAGGCUUAUUGGUGUUCGCAGCUGGGAUGUCUGCAACACGUGAGUCUAUCCACAAGCUUGUCUCUUAAGUUCCCCUCCUAAGACAAUUGAUAUUCUUCAUGGUCAGCUAAAUAUAAAUGAAUUUGUUUCUCAACAUCACUUGCUACAAAUGAAAUUAAUACAAAGUUAUAGCACAGUUACAAGCUGAAGUUGUACAAAUUAUUUUUUCCUUAUGCUUCCACAACAUUUUGGAUUAUCAAUUGCUUGACGUAGAGAU